rnacentral:rRNA from 1 species
AGCGAACGCUGGCGGCAGGCCUAACACAUGCAAGUCGAACGAAGUCUUCGGACUUAGUGGCGGGCGGGUGAGUAACACGUGGGAACGUACCUUUUGGUUCGGAACAACUCAGGGAAACUUGAGCUAUACCGGAUGAGCCCUUAGGGGGAAAGAUUUAUCGCCGAAAGAGCGGCCCGCGUUAGAUUAGCUAGUUGGUGAGGUAAAGGCUCACCAAGGCUACGAUCUAUAGCUGGUCUGAGAGGAUGAUCAGCCACACUGGGACUGAGACACGGCCCAGACUCCUACGGGUGGCAGCAGUGGGGAAUCUUGCGCAAUGGGCGAAAGCCUGACGCAGCCAUGCCGCGUGAAUGAUGAAGGUCUUAGGAUUGUAAAAUUCUUUUACCAGGGACGAUAAUGACGGUACCUGGAGAAAAAGCCCCGGCUAACUUCGUGCCAGCCGCCGCAGUAAAAC